GAGACCUUAUUCAAGUGGCAUAUUAUAGGAAAAUUAUCUGGUGUUCUUGUGUACGGUUUCGGAACUUUGAUGUUCUCGGUACGAACAAGUUUCCCACUUAAGUUUUGUUGUUUUCUGAGGUUGGAAUUGACGGAAAUGACCCUAAGUUGGGAAUUUCUUUGUCGAAAAUGACCAGCUUAGAUGGGUAGUAGAUAAAGCUUGCCGUGAGAUCUGUGCUUGGAAUCAGUCGGCUUCGACAUCGACUGGAGGUAUAUUAAAUCGAAACAGUAGGAAAAGAACUCACGCAGAGGAGACCUGUUGUUUGGGUGGUGGCGGAGAAUGUGAAGAUGAAGGGGGAGAAGCAUUGUUCGAUUGUGGGUCAUUGGGACAAUAAUGGCGUGGGUGAAGCUCGCUGGUGUGCGGAUCGGUGGUGGUAAGAAAUGAAUAGAAACGGAUCAUAGUUAACGAGGCACCGUCUGUGGAUGUGGGUUUAGGGUUUGAUUCUUUGCGGGAUUGAUGCCGGUGAGGAAAUCUUUUCAGGAUCUAAAUCCCUCUUGUUCUUUUUGUGGUCGGUGAAUGGAGAAACUUGUGUUGGAAUCUUAGCGUUGAGGGAUAUUGAGCAGGAGGGGUUUUCACCAUUUACUUAUUCCUUUUAUAUGACUAUAUUCCUUUCUUUAUUUUACUUGGACCUGCAUCUUUGUGUUAUGCACCUCUAUGGCAUUACCCAUUAGUGGACAGCAAGCUUUUCCACCUUUC